AGAGUUUGAUCAUGGCUCAGAUUGAACGCUGGCGGCAGGCCUAACACAUGCAAGUCGAACGGUAACAGGAAGCAGCUUGCUGCUUUGCUGACGAGUGGCGGACGGGUGAGUAAUGUCUGGGAAACUGCCUGAUGGAGGGGGAUAACUACUGGAAACGGUAGCUAAUACCGCAUAACGUCGCAAGACCAAAGAGGGGGACCUUCGGGCCUCUUGCCAUCGGAUGUGCCCAGAUGGGAUUAGCUAGUAGGUGGGGUAACGGCUCACCUAGGCGACGAUCCCUAGCUGGUCUGAGAGGAUGACCAGCCACACUGGAACUGAGACACGGUCCAGACUCCUACGGGAGGCAGCAGUGGGGAAUAUUGCACAAUGGGCGCAAGCCUGAUGCAGCCAUGCCGCGUGUAUGAAGAAGGCCUUCGGGUUGUAAAGUACUUUCAGCGGGGAGGAAGGGAGUAAAGUUAAUACCUUUGCUCAUUGACGUUACCCGCAGAAGAAGCACCGGCUAACUCCGUGCCAGCAGCCGCGGUAAUACGGAGGGUGCAAGCGUUAAUCGGAAUUACUGGGCGUAAAGCGCACGCAGGCGGUUUUGUUAAGUCAGAUGUGAAAUCCCCGGGCUCAACCUGGGAACUGCAUCUGAUACUGGCAAGCUUGAGUCUCGUAGAGGGGGGUAGAAUUCCAGGUGUAGCGGUGAAAUGCGUAGAGAUCUGGAGGAAUACCGGUGGCGAAGGCGGCCCCCUGGACGAAGACUGACGCUCAGGUGCGAAAGCGUGGGGAGCAAACAGGAUUAGAUACCCUGGUAGUCCACGCCGUAAACGAUGUCGACUUGGAGGUUGUGCCCUUGAGGCGUGGCUUCCGGAGCUAACGCGUUAAGUCGACCGCCUGGGGAGUACGGCCGCAAGGUUAAAACUCAAAUGAAUUGACGGGGGCCCGCACAAGCGGUGGAGCAUGUGGUUUAAUUCGAUGCAACGCGAAGAACCUUACCUGGUCUUGACAUCCACGGAAGUUUUCAGAGAUGAGAAUGUGCCUUCGGGAACCGUGAGACAGGUGCUGCAUGGCUGUCGUCAGCUCGUGUUGUGAAAUGUUGGGUUAAGUCCCGCAACGAGCGCAACCCUUAUCCUUUGUUGCCAGCGGUCCGGCCGGGAACUCAAAGGAGACUGCCAGUGAUAAACUGGAGGAAGGUGGGGAUGACGUCAAGUCAUCAUGGCCCUUACGACCAGGGCUACACACGUGCUACAAUGGCGCAUACAAAGAGAAGCGACCUCGCGAGAGCAAGCGGACCUCAUAAAGUGCGUCGUAGUCCGGAUUGGAGUCUGCAACUCGACUCCAUGAAGUCGGAAUCGCUAGUAAUCGUGGAUCAGAAUGCCACGGUGAAUACGUUCCCGGGCCUUGUACACACCGCCCGUCACACCAUGGGAGUGGGUUGCAAAAGAAGUAGGUAGCUUAACCUUCGGGAGGGCGCUUACCACUUUGUGAUUCAUGACUGGGGUGAAGUCGUAACAAGGUAACCGUAGGGGAACCUGCGGUUGGAUCACCU
rnacentral:rRNA from 1 species